GACGAACGCUGGCGGCGUGCUUAACACAUGCAAGUCGAACGGAAAGGCCCUGCUUUUGUGGGGUGCUCGAGUGGCGAACGGGUGAGUAACACGUGAGUAACCUGCCCUUGACUUUGGGAUAACUUCAGGAAACUGGGGCUAAUACCGGAUAGGAGCUCCUGCUGCAUGGUGGGGGUUGGAAAGUUUCGGCGGUUGGGGAUGGACUCGAGGCUUAUCAGCUUGUUGGUGGGGUAGUGGCUUACCAAGGCUUUGACGGGUAGCCGGCCUGAGAGGGUGACCGGCCACAUUGGGACUAAGAGACGGCCCAGACUCCUACGGGAGGCAGCAGUGGGGAAUAUUGCACAAUGGGCGGAAGCCUGAUGCAGCAACGCCGCGUGCGGGAUGACGGCCUUCGGGUUGUAAACCGCUUUCGCCUGUGACGAAGCGUGAGUGACGGUAAUGGGUAAAGAAGCACCGGCUAACUACGUG
rnacentral:rRNA from 1 species